rnacentral:rRNA from 1 species
UAAGUCCCGCAACGAGCGCAACCCACGUCGUUAGUUGCUAACAGUUCGGCUGAGAACUCUAACGAGACUGCCUGGGCAACCAGGAGGAAGGUGUGGACGACGUCAAGUCAUCAUGGCCCUUACGUCCAGGGCUACACACGUGCUACAAUGGGACAUACAAAGAGCCGCAAUACCGCGAGGUGGAGCAAAUCUCAAAAGUGUCUCCCAGUUCGGAUAGUAGUCUGCAACUCGACUACUUGAAGUUGGAAUCGCUAGUAAUCGUAGAUCAGCAAUGCUACGGUGAAUACGUUCCCGGGUCUU